UCUUUCGAUAGGUGCGUUAUCUGACAAGUUUAAUCACUGCUUGUAAUUUUUCUCAAUUUUGGGGGAUAUAUACGCUGGUAUUUUGAAGGAUUAUUUAUCUGAAAUUUAUGUAUGAACAUAAUUUCUGUUGCUGCCAGCUGUAUGAGCUUCUGAUCCAGUAAAUAGUGAAUUUGGGACUGUGUUGAAGUGAAAUACAAUUAAGAAUACAAUGGAUGAAUAUGA